rnacentral:misc_RNA from 1 species
GUGAGUGGUGUUUGGCAUGUUGCGGGUGGUUGGAUGUCUGCGUUUGCAGCAACGUCCGCUUGGGCAUGCCUCUUCAUUUUUGUGCAAGGCUCGUUGUUUCGUCCUUGUGCAGUUGCCGGAUUCCUUGUGUUGGCUGCCUAUGUGAUGGUAUUGAGUUGUGAUAUUGGAGUACCUUUUGUCGUGCGUUGCUCAUGGGGCGUGCGGUGAACCAUAAAGUGGCCUCUUUGAUCCAUUCUGUUGAUGCUUGUGUUUUGAUGGCAUGGCUCAUUGAACGUCGCUUGGUCUCUUGGAUACGGAACCUUGUUUGGGCAUGGGGUCUUUAUCGAUCUUGUGUUUGCCCUUGUCAAGCGUUCUUGCUUUUUUGAACGAUCGUCGGUUACGUGUUGACUUGCUCAUGCGUGCCUGGCGUCGUCGAAGAUGAAUGCUACCUGGUUGAUCCUGCCAGUAGUCAUAUGCUUGUCU